rnacentral:misc_RNA from 1 species
UCUCCGUAGGUGAACCUGCGGAGGGAUCAUUACAGAGUUCUCGCCCUCGCGGGUAGAUCUCCCACCCACUGUUAUCGUUUCUGUGUUGCUUUGGCGGGCCGCCGGGCCCCGCUCGGCCGCCGGCUCCGGCUGGCGCGCGCCCGCCAGAGGCCCAGCAAACUCUGAAUGUUAGUGUCGUCUGAGUACUAUAUAAUAGUUAAAACUUUCAACAACGGAUCUCUUGGUUCUG